rnacentral:rRNA from 1 species
AUUGAACGCUGGCGGCAGGCCUAACACAUGCAAGUCGAGCGGAUGAAGGGAGCUUGCUCCUGGAUUCAGCGGCGGACGGGUGAGUAAUGCCUAGGAAUCUGCCUGGUAGUGGGGGAUAACGUCCGGAAACGGGCGCUAAUACCGCAUACGUCCUGAGGGAGAAAGUGGGGGAUCUUCGGACCUCACGCUAUCAGAUGAGCCUAGGUCGGAUUAGCUAGCUGGUGGGGUAAAGGCCUACCAAGGCGACGAUCCGUAACUGGUCUGAGAGGAUGAUCAGUCACACUGGAACUGAGACACGGUCCAGACUCCUACGGGAGGCAGCAGUGGGCAAUGUUGGACAAUGGGCGAAAGCCUGGUCCAGCCAUGCCGCGUGUGUGAAGAAGGUCUUCGGAUUGUAAAGCACUUUAAGUUGGGAGGAAGGGCAGUAAGUUAAUACCUUGCUGUUUUGACGUUACCAACAGAAUAAGCACCGGCUAACUUCGUG